rnacentral:rRNA from 1 species
UGGCUUAACCAGGAGGGGUCGUCAGAAACUGUUUUACUGGAGGCAGUGAGAGGGGUGCGGAAUUCUCGGUGGAGUGGUGGAAUACGUAGAUAUCGGGAGGAACAUCAGUGGCGAAGGCGGCACCCUGGCACUGACCUGACGCUUAUGAGCGAAAGCGUGGGUAGCGAACGGGAUUAGAUACCCCGGUAGUCCACGCUGUAAACGAUGAGUACUAGGCGUAGGUAGCUACAGUUAUCUGUGCCGAAGCUAACGCGAUAAGUACUCCGCCUGGGGACUACGGCCGCAAGGCUAAAACUCAAAGGAAUUGACGGGGACCCGCACAAGCAGCGGAGCGUGUUGUUUAAUUCGAUGUAACGCGAAGAACCUUACCUGGGUUUGACAUGUGCGUAGUAGUGAAGCGAAAGCGGAACGACCCUUCGGGGGGCGUACACAGGUGUUGCAUGGCUGUCGUCAGCUCGUGUCGUGAGAUGUUGGGUUAAGUCCCGCAACGAGCGCAACCCUCGUCGUUAGUUACAAGUGUCUAGCGAGACUGCCGGUAUACACCGGAGGAAGGUGAGGACGAUGUCAAGUCAGCAUGACCCUUAUAUCCAGGGCUACUAACACGCUACAAUGGGCCGUACAAUGGGCAGCCAAAGAGCAAUCUGGAGCAAAUCCCACCAAAACGGUUCGUAGUUCGGAUUGCAGGCUGCAACUCGCCUGCAUGAAGUCGGAGUUGCUAGUAAACGCAGGUCAGCCAUACUGCGUUGAAUACCGUUCCCGGGUCUUGUACACACCGCCCGUCAAGUCAUGGAAGUUGGUAACACCUGAAGUCGGUGACCUAACCGCAAGGAAGGAGCUGCCUAGGGUGGGACUGAUGAC